GCGCGGGGACGACCCCGCGCCUUUUCCUUUUUCUCCGGGGACGGCCCCG
rnacentral:ncRNA from 1 species